CUGAAAAUUAGGAGCAUACACUGAAAUUAGAGCCCUAAAUCCUAUCACUUCUUUGGAAUAUGAGGCUUGUGAUAGGAGUGAUUAUGCUUCUCAUCUUUGGAACUAGGUGUAAUUCUAAGGUCAUCCAGCCCGUCUCACAAGAAGUAAUAGAAGGACAAGCAGUGGAUUUGUCCUGUAAUCAUCAGGACAUUGGCACUAAUAUGAUUGUAUUUUGGUACCGACAGUUUCCCAAUCAGGAGCCACAGUUCCUCAUUCAAAAUUAUAAAGCCAAAGUGACCAAUGGAAGAGUUUCUUUGACUAUCUCUUCAGACAGAAAGUUUAGCAUCUUGAGCCUUUCUGCAGUCACCCAGAGAGACACUGCUGUGUAUUACUGUGUCCUGCAGACUGCACAGUGAAAGAAAUGAAGGCUACACCUGCACAUUAUU